rnacentral:ncRNA from 1 species
UGAUAGCGAUGAAGCGUGAGGUUGCCGCCGGGGCAAAAUAAUAAACAACGGCGGGUUUUCCGUGGAGCGAAUGUCAAGUUAGGAAACUGGCGACAA